GAUCAUGGCUCAGGAUGAACGCUGGCGGCGUGCUUAACACAUGCAAGUCGAGCGAAGCGAUUUAAAUGAGACUUCGGUGGAUUUUAAAUUGACUGAGCGGCGCACGGGUGAGUAACGCGUGAGGAACCUGCCUUGAAGAGGGGGACAACAGUUGGAAACGACUGCUAAUACCGCAUGACGCAUAGAGGUCGCAUGAUCUUUAUGCCAAAGAUUUAUCGCUUCAAGAUGG
rnacentral:rRNA from 1 species